GACGUAGGGCGCGAGCGUUGUCCGGAUUUAUUGGGCGUAAAGAGCUCGUAGGCGGCUUGUCGCGUCGUCCGUGAAAACCUGGGGCUCAACCCCAGGCUUGCGGUCGAUACGGGCAGGCUCGAGUUCGGUAGGGGAGACUGGAAUUCCUGGGUGUAGCGGUGAAAUGCGCAGAUAUCAGGAGGAACACCGGUGGCGAAGGCGGGUCUCUGGGCCGAUGACUGACGCUGAGGAGCGAAAGCGUGGGGGAGCGAACAGG
rnacentral:rRNA from 1 species